UACAGGGGGUGCAACCGUUGCUCGGAAUCAUUGGGCGUAAAGCGCACGUAGGCGGUUCGUUAUGUCGGAUGCGAAAUCCCUCGGCUCAACCAAGGAAGUGCAUCCGAAACUGCUGAGCUUGAGUACUUAAGAGGAUCGCGGAAUUCCCGGUGUAGAGGUGAAAUUCGUAGAUAUCGGGAGGAACACCAGUGGCGAAGGCGGCGAUCUGGGAAGAUACUGACGCUGAGGUGCGAAAGCGUGGGGAGCAAACAGG
rnacentral:rRNA from 1 species